GUUCCAGUAUCAUUUUGCUUGAGUACCAGCCAACUUUCCGAGACAUGACGCGUGCAGAGGCUUUGCAACACAAGAACUGCGAGCAGUGCUGGUGUAAUGCUCUGACCCUCAUGCGGAUACAGUACACAUACAACCUCUGUAUGCUUUCUGUAGUGGAAGAAUAAAUGUCUGAAGAAAAUUAAAAAUUACUUUUGCAUGCCAUCACAUCCUUUGAAAAGCAUUGGAGUUAAAUAACUAAUGUCAACUUUUUCGGCUUUGGCAUGUUUGUACUGUCCUGAUUUGAAGUGGAUUCUUUACAGCAGAAAACAAAUCUAACAUUUGGAUGAAUAAGCCCAAGAUUUGAUGAAUAGCUAAACUUUCAUAGUUUGUCAUCAGUGGUUAAAACAACAUUUACCUGUUCACUGGCUGAAGCGGAUGAUCUGAAUUUCCUCCGGUAUGAGAACUGUUAUGGGAAACUCUGUGCACAGAACUGCAUCUUGCAUUCUCAAACCCCCUCCUUUUGUGACCACUGGAAGGAUUGAAGGGACGAACCCAUCUGUCUCCAGCGAAACGGAAGGGACAGAUGACCUCUACAGCCCUGAAUGUCAGUGGAAACCAGGACAACUGCACAAUGAGUCCUCUUAGGGGGUUAGAAUUCCAGGAAACGUGAGCAGAGGGUGGAUGGAGGUGGAGAGCAUGACGGAGCACAACCCCACCACUAGAUGACAGCAUUCUACCAUGAUUUAUCACCAUGGAACCAAGGUUUGAGAGAGAGACCUCAAACUUUACCAGUAAAUGCACAUUUAUGGAUUGGCAGUCAGAAACUAGAAGCUUCAAACCAGCAACCUUGCUGUUAACAGUGCCAUGCUUUAGCACUGGGGUGUCAAACUUAAUUCCUGGAGGGCCAAAGCCCUGCAGAGAUUAGAUUUAACCCUAAUUAAACACACCUGAUCCUAUUAAGUCCUUUAGGCUUAUUUGAAAACUAUAUGUGUUGGAGGAGUCUAGAGUCUAGAGUCUCUCCAGAUUGUGGAAAACAAUGUUUUUUUUUUUUUUUUUAUUACACAACUUCAAUACCAAAUAAAGAAAUUUGAAAGCAUUCAUCAUCAUGUAUUAUUUAUCUUUUUCUUGGACCAAGUUUUUUGGGUUUACCUUAAAUGUAAACCAUUAUUAUACACUUUCUGUUAUUCAUCAAGGUUGACAAAUACUCCAUGCAAAAAGCAGUCAUGCAGAACUUAGGCUAGUUCAUAAGCUUGUGGUUAUUAAAGGAAUAGUUCACCCCCCCCCCCACAAAG